UAGUCCACGCCGUAAACGAUGGAUACUAACUGUUCGGAUUUCGAUCUGAGUGGUUAAGCGAAAGUGAUAAGUAUCCCACCUGGGGAGUACGUUCGCAAGAAUGAAACUCAAAGGAAUUGACGGGGGCCCGCACAAGCGGUGGAGCAUGUGGUUUAAUUCGAUGAUACGCGAGGAACCUUACCAGGGCUUAAAUGUAUAUUGACGUAUUUGGAAACAGAUAUUUCUUCGGACAAUAUACAAGGUGCUGCAUGGUUGUCGUCAGCUCGUGCCGUGAGGUGUCAGGUUAAGUCCUAUAACGAGCGCAACCCCUAUUGUUAGUUACCAGCAUGUAAAGAUGGGGACUCUAACAAGACUGCCGGUGCAAACCGAGAGGAAGGUGGGGAUGACGUCAAAUCAUCACGGCCCUUACGUCCUGGGCUACACACGUGCUACAAUGGUAGGUACAGAGAGCAGCCACUGCGUGAGCAGGAGCGAAUCUAUAAAACCUAUCUCAGUUCGGAUCGG
rnacentral:rRNA from 1 species